AGUCACUGACGAGUUUGAUCCUCGGCUCAGAACGAACGCUGGCGGCAGGCUUAACACAUGCAAGUCGAGCGCCCACUUCGGUGGGAGCGGCAGACGGGUGAGUAACGCGUGGGAAUCUACCCAGUUCUACGGAACAACUCAGGGAAACUUGAGCUAAUACCGUAUACGCCCUUCGGGGGAAAGAUUUAUCGGAAUUGGAUGAGCCCGCGUUGGAUUAGCUAGUUGGUGAGGUAAUGGCUCACCAAGGCGACGAUCCAUAGCUGGUCUGAGAGGAUGAUCAGCCACAUUGGGACUGAGACACGGCCCAAACUCCUACGGGAGGCAGCAGUGGGGAAUAUUGGACAAUGGGCGCAAGCCUGAUCCAGCCAUGCCGCGUGAGUGAUGACGGCCUUAGGGUUGUAAAGCUCUUUCAACGGUGAAGAUAAUGACGGUAACCGUAGAAGAAGCCCCGGCUAACUUCGUG
rnacentral:rRNA from 1 species